GAACUCUAAGAAAAAAUUACGCUGUUAUCCCUAAGGUAAUUCUUCUUAUAAUCUUAAAUAAAGGAUCAUUUAAAAUCACUUAUCUAUGAAAAAAUAAUAAAAAAGUUAAAUAAAUUUUUAAAUCACCCCAACCAAAUAUUUUUUUAAAUAAUAAAAUAUAAUUCCUUUAUUUUAUUAUUUUAAAAAAUAUAAAACUCUAUAGGGUCUUCUCGUCUUUUAUUUAAAUUUAAGCUUUUUUACUUAAAAAUAAAAUUCAAAAUUUUAAAACUGAGACAGUUAUUUUUUCAUCGAACCUUUCAUUCCAGCUUUCAAUUAAAAAACUAAUGAUUAUGCUACCUUAGCACAGUCAAAAUACUGCGGCCGUUAAA
rnacentral:rRNA from 1 species